rnacentral:rRNA from 1 species
UCGAGGAUCUUUCGCAAUGGGCGAAAGCCUGACGGAGCGACGCUGUGUGAGUGAUGAAGGCCUUCGGGUCGUAAAACUCUUUUGCCUGUGAACAAGAAAGAUUCGUGAAUAACGAGUCAAUUUGAGAGUAGCAGGAGAAAAAGCACCGGCUAACUACGUGCCAGCAGCUGCGGUAAUACGUAGGGUGCAAGCAUUAAUCGGAAUUAUUGGGCGUAAAGGGCGCGUAGGCGGAUUGAUAAGUCAGAUGUGAAAUACCAAAGCUCAACUUUGGUGCUGCAUUUGAAACUGUCUCUCUAGAGGAUUGACGGAGAAAGGGGAAUUCCACGUGUAGCGGUGAAAUGCGUAGAUACGUGGAGGAACACCGGUGGCGAAAGCGCCUUUCUAGUUUAGACCUGACGCUGAGGCGCGAGAGCAAGGGGAGCAAACA